CAGAGGUUACUGCUAUSGAGRYUCGACUAAGCCAUGCGAGUUGAAUGUUCUUCGUGAACAUGGCGGACUGCUCAGUAACACGUGGACAACCUACCCUUGGGUCCGGCAUAAUCCUGGGAAACUGGGAAUAAUUCCGGAUAGGUCACCGAUGCUGGAAUGCGCGGUGGCCGAAAGCUCCGGCGCCCGAGGAUGGGUCUGCGGCCUAUCAGGGUUGUAGUGGGUGUAACGUACCUACUAGCCUACGACGGGUACGGGUUGUGAGAGCAAGAGCCCGGAGAUGGAUUCUGAGACACGAAUCCAGGCCCUACGGGGUGCAGCAGGCGCGAAAACUUUACAAUGCGGGAAACCGUGAUAAGGGGAUCUCGAGUGCCAGCAUAUAAUGUUGGCUGUCCAGAUGCCUAAAAAGCAUCUGUUAGCAAGGGCCGGGCAAGACCGGUGCCAGCCGCCGCGGUAACACCGGCGGCCCGAGUGGUAACCGCUAUUAUUGGGUCUAAAGGGUCUGUAGCCGGCCAGGUAAGUCCCUUGGGAAAUCUGGCAGCUCAACUGUCAGGCUGCUAGGGGAUACUGUUUGGCUUGGGACCGGGAGAGGUGAGAGGUACCUUGGGGGUAGGGGUGAAAUCUUGUGAUCCUCGAGGGACCACCAGUGGCGAAGGCGUCUCACCAGAACGGGUCCGACGGUAAGGGACGAAAGCUAGGGGCACGAACCGGAUUAGAUACCCGGGUAGUCCUAGCCGUAAACGAUGCUCGCUAGGUGUCAGUCACGGUGCGACCGUGAUUGGUGCCGUAGGGAAGCCGUGAAGCGAGCCACCUGGGAAGUAUGGCCGCAAGGCUGAAACUUAAAGGAAUUGGCGGGSGAGCACUACAWCGGGUGGAGCCUGCGGUUUAUUG
rnacentral:rRNA from 1 species